AGUGAACGCUGGCGGUAGGCCUAACACAUGCAAGUCGAACGGCAGCACAGUAAGAGCCUGCUCUUACGGGUGGCGAGUGGCGGACGGGUGAGGAAUACAUCGGAAUCUACUUUUUCGUGGGGGAUAACGUAGGGAAACUUACGCUAAUACCGCAUACGACCUACGGGUGAAAGCAGGGGAUCUUCGGACCUUGCGCGAUUGAAUGAGCCGAUGUCGGAUUAGCUAGUUGGCGGGGUAAAGGCCCACCAAGGCGACGAUCCGUAGCUGGUCUGAGAGGAUGAUCAGCCACCCUGGAACUGAGACACGGUCCAGACUCCUACGGGAGGCAGCAGUGGGGAAUAUUGGACAAUGGGCGCAAGUAUGAUCCAGUCAUCCCGCGUGGGUGAAGACGGCCUUCGGGUUGUAAAGCCCUUUUGUUGGGAAAGAAAAGCAGCAGGUUAAUACCCCGCUGUUCUGACGGUACCCAAAGAAUAAGCACCGGCUAACUUCGUG
rnacentral:rRNA from 1 species